AGCAGAGUGACGCAGUAGUAGCGUGCUGGGCUCAUAACCCAGAUGUCGUAGGUGCAAAUCCUACCUCUGUAA
rnacentral:tRNA from 1 species